UAAUGUCUUCAUAUUCUGUGCCCAGG
rnacentral:piRNA from 1 species